rnacentral:rRNA from 1 species
UACGUAGGAGGCAAGCGUUGUCCGGAAUUACUGGGUGUAAAGCGCGUGUAGGCGGCAGGCCAAGUCUGUGGUGAAAUCGCUCGGCUCAACUGGGCGGGGUCCAUGGAAACUGGUCAGCUGGAGGACGGUAGAGGUGAGUGGAAUUCCCGGUGUAGUGGUGAAAUGCGUAGAGAUCGGGAGGAACGCCAGUGGCGAAAGCGACUUUCUGGUCCUUAACUGACGCUGAGGCGCGAAAGCAUGGGGAGCGAACGGG